rnacentral:lncRNA from 1 species
GCACAACAUGUUUUUUCAAGCAUUGAGUAUCUCGACUCGCAAUCUAUGAAUUUCUUACUCAGGUAGUAGAUGGCAUGCUCUUUCCUACCUGUCUCCUCGUGUUGACCGAGAACACAACCCAUGGAAUUGUCUAGUACUGUCAAAUACAUAAUCAGCGGUCUCCCUGGGACCGGAGGCACAAGGAUAGGAGGAUUCUGCAAAUACUCUUUUAUCUUC